rnacentral:lncRNA from 1 species
AUGUCUUUUCACUUGUGCACGUUUUUUUUUUCACAGUGCACAAGACAUUGCAAAAUACACAAGCGCAAUGGUCAAAGAUGUCUGUUUCGCACAUGUUUGCAUAGAAAACCAAUGGAAAAUCAGUGCACUGGAAUUCAAAAACACAUACUGUAUGAACAUGGUGUGGCUUCAAAAAUUACUUGUAUUCUUUGGUUUUUUUUUUGGGUAUAUUCGUCCUCAUUCGCUCUCACUGUAUGGAAUAGUGCAGCAUGAACAUUCUGCUAAACUUCUCCUUUUUAGUUCCUCAGAAUAAAGUAACCAUAUGAGUUUGGAAUGACAUGAAGAUGAGCAAAUGAUAACAGAGUUACAAUUUUUUUAACUAAACUAAACAUUUUAAUCUGUCAGUAAAUCAAAGCUUUACACUUCGUACAUGGAUUGUGUAGAAACAGAAUGUAAUUAUCAAAAAGUGCUUAUAGAUUCUUUAUUAGAAUUGACUUCUUAGCAGGGGAAAAGUGUUUUAUAGGUGGAACAUGUGGAUAAAGCAAACAGAACUGCAUAGAGUUAGGUGGAACAGUUUGUGUCGUAAUCUAAUGGCAUCCUUAGCUAAUGGAAAUCUCUGAAUGCUUCCUCCGCCUUGCAAAUACUGCAGAAAUGACCUCCUAUCCUAUGAGAAUAAGGCAAUAAUGUUUUGGAAACAGAAGUGAUGUUUUCAGGAAAUUGCUGGCAAGGGCUUUGGGUCGCAUAAGCAAUGGAACUCUUGCCUAACAUGUCUGUAUGUUUGCCAGAGCAGUGUUUGAUCUUCUGCAGUGUUUCGUGUCGAUGGUCUGUGACAAACACUGUUACUUAAACCGUUGCGUCACACCCGGCGCCCCCAGAGAUGUGGUGGUGGGUGAGGCCGGAAUGGUCCGCGCACCACCACGUUGCAUGAAAUUAUUUUGGCAAGCGAUCUCUAUGUUGGCUGCUUCGAGAUCUGACUUAGUAUUUUAAUGCAAUGCUUGCAAAUCAAUCUGUAUGUUGUCAUUAUCUGUUUUCUCAUGAUCAAACGCUUUGAUUGAUCACAGUGAAUUUGUGAAUGCUCCCCGGUUUUUCUCUUAUUGAGAUCAUUUUUUCUCAUAUCUAAAUUGAUGUGGACCGGUUGAUUCUGCUCAGUGAGGACAACAGGUCUUUGUAUUGGUUUAACAAACUAUAAUCAAUUGGAUUUGCACCUUCCGUUCAGAAAUUUUCUGUAUUUUCAGUCUGCUCUCAAAGUUGCACUUUUUUUUUUUUUUUACUCAUUCAUAGCCUUUGUGCCAUUUAUUCUGCUGUAAAGUUUUUGGAAAUAAAAAUAAAUACAGUAACAGUUGUGUCAUUUUGAUUUGCUCAAAGCAAACGUAGCACCAGAAAAGAAGCAUGUUGGAAAAUGCUCAUGUGCACAAAAUGUAAUCUUUUGCUUGUAUUGCAUAACGUGCAUGGGUCAGUUUGGUAUAUUCCUGGAACAGUUUUAUGGGGGACCACCAAGAUUCAUCUGCAGUUAUUACCUCCGCGGUUGCAGAUGGAAUAUGUAACUAUGUAGAUGUUGUCAUGACAAGUGGUUGAGCAUGCAAGUGCAACCCAUACAUUGAACUUCGUGUUUUUGCUUAGAUUUUGAUGCAAAACUACUAUAAAAUAAAAAUUUGAGUAUAAACUAAAUGUGGAAGUAAAACAUUGUGAGAAUUACAAGAAAAAAAUGGAAAACCCAACAAAAUUUAGAAUGUAAAGACAUCUUUCUGAUGGUUUUAUCCGAUUAAUCAUGAGAUUAAUUUGCGGCCUCAUGUCUCUCAUGGGAUGAAGAGGAUAAGUAAGUAAACCAUGUAAGCUGAAGUAAACUGAAGUAAGUAAAUUAUGAGACUGGGUGGGUUAGAACCUAAAACCUUCAGGAAACGGCCUUGAUAUUUGAGCAGCCAAAUACAUACUACUUUACUACUAUUAGCGUAACAUGUUUGUAUUUUCUGGGCCCAAUGCAAACCCUUCACAAUAAUGAAUGCAAAAGAUAGCAAUAGCACUAAUGUAAUGUCAAAGCAAAAAGCGGAUUGUACAAGGCUGGAAAUUGAAAACUGAUUAAAAGUGUGAAUGUAUUUUGGUAUUUGUAAGCAAAUGAGAGUUUAGUUUAACUUGGUUUACUUAAUGUAAGAGCCUCAUCUGCUGGUUACUCAGAGUAGCGCAUAAUUUCCCACAGAGCUGAAAUUCACCUCAGUUUUUACUCAAACUGAACUCAGCAGAUAGUCUAACAACACGUUCUUGGAUUUAGAAGUUCGUCAAGUGAGUGUGGUUUACCUUUUCUUCCAUUCCUCGUCAGAAACUGUGUAUUUAUGUCGUUAAUACUACCGUUAGGGUCUAAGGUCCAGGAGAAUUUGCUACUAGGUCGCGGUGCAUGACGUCAACCAUUUCUGUCGGCCAAAUUAGAUUCGAACCAAUCACAGAGUCGGAGAGGUUUGCGUAACCAAUCGCAGCGCAGCGCUGUGACUCACCAUACAUGGACAGCCAUGGCCAUAUAAGGAAACAUCGCCUCGCUUUAUUUGGAGGAAAGUAGAUCUUUAGGCGAACGACCUCGUGAGAUGAAUUCCCUAAAUAAGCGUGCUAUUAGCAAUUAUAUAGUUUCAGAAAACAUUAAACAUUAAACACGACCGAAAUAUAGUCGUUCAUGUGUUAAAAGGGACUAAUGUUACGCGAUACUGACGUUACUGCAGGUAACUAGUUCUGUACGCGGAGGCACAUUGAGGCACGGUCGCGAUUCGUUGUUUCCAAAUGUGGCAAGCGCGGCGUAAGUUCACUUGAGGUUUGAUUGAUGGACCGUAGGCGGAAACUAUACGCUUGUAAACUUUGUACGAUGGUCGUGAGGGGCUAGUUUUGGAGGUUUGUUUUUUGGAAAUCACGAGCUGCCUGAAUCGCGGCUUUCAAACAGACAGAUAAAUCCGUCCUCAAACUCCAGACCCCGCGCGUUUUGUGUGCUAAAGGGAGCUAAUGUUUCCUAGCCUAGCAUAUGUGAGGUAAGUUCGGAGUCGAGGGACGCGAUCUGCUGGGUUUGAUCUGGGAUCUGCUCGGAUCUCUGC